rnacentral:rRNA from 1 species
GUAGUCAUAUGCUUGUCUCAAAGAUUAAGCCAUGCAUGUCUAAGUAUAAAUGGAUUAUACAGUGAAACUGCGAAUGGCUCAUUAAAUCAGUUAUAGUUUAUUUGAUAAUAUCUCUUACUUGGAUAACCGUAAUAAUUUUAGAGCUAAUACAUGCGUAAAAGGGCGACUUUUUGGAAGCUCUGUAUUUAUUAGAUACAAAACCAAUCGUGCUUGCACGUUACCUUGGUGAUUCAUAAUAACUAAACGAAUCGCAUGACUUUAUGUCGGCGAUGAUUCAUAUAAGUUUCUGCCCUAUCAACUUUCGAUGGUAAGGUAUUGGCUUACCAUGGUUACAACGGGUAACGGGGAAUG